rnacentral:rRNA from 1 species
AGCGAACGCUGGCGGCAGGCCUAAUACAUGCAAGUCGAGCGGGUCCUUCGGGAUUAGCAGCGGACGGGGUGAGUAACGCGUGGGAACGUGCCCUUUGGUACGGAACAACUGAGGGAAACUUCAGCUAAUACCGUAUGUGCCCUUCGGGGGAAAGAUUUAUCGCCAUUGGAGCGGCCCGCGUUGGAUUAGGUAGUUGGUGAGGUAAAGGCUCACCAAGCCUACGAUCCAUAGCUGGUCUGAGAGGAUGACCAGCCACACUGGGACUGAGACACGGCCCAGACUCCUACGGGAGGCAGCAGUAGGGAAUCUUGUGCAAUGGGCGAAAGCCUGACGCAGCCAUGCCGCGUGAAUGAUGAAGGUCUUAGGAUUGUAAAAUUCUUUCACCGGGGACGAUAAUGACGGUACCCGGAGAAGAAGCCCCGGCUAACUUCGUGCCAGCAGCCGCGGUAAU